AUACGGAGGAUCCGAGCGUUAUCCGGAUUUAUUGGGUUUAAAGGGCGCGCAGGCGGCCAUUUAAGUCAGCGGUUAAAUCGUGGGGCUCAACCCCAUUCUGCCGUUGAUACUGGGUGGCUUGAUUGCGGUCGAGGUUGGCGGAAUUCGUUGUGUAGCGGGGAAAUGCAUAGAUAUGACGAAGAACACCGAUUGCGUAGGCAGCUGACCAGAUCGCAAAUGACGCUCAUGCACGAAAGUGCGGGGAUCGAACAGGAUUAGAUACCCUGGUAGUCCGCACAGUAAACGAUGAAUACUUGUUUUCGGCGAUAUAAUGUCGGAGGCAAAGCGAAAGCGAUAAGUAUUCCACCUGGGGAGUACGCCGGCAACGGUGAAACUCAAAGGAAUUGGCGGGG
rnacentral:rRNA from 1 species